AGAGUUUGAUCCUGGCUCAGGACGAACGCUGGCGGCGCGCCUAACACAUGCAAGUCGAACGGAGUUAUGUUGGUUGAAGUUUUCGGAUGGAUACCGACAUAACUUAGUGGCGGACUGGUGAGUAACGCGUGAGGAACCUGCCUUCCAGAGGGGGACAACAGUUGGAAACGACUGCUAAUACCGCAUGAUAUAUUUGAGGGGCAUCCCUUGGAUAUCAAAGAUUUAUCGCUGGAAGAUGGCCUCGCGUCUGAUUAGCUAGUAGGCGGGGUAACGGCCCACCUAGGCGACGAUCAGUAGCCGGACUGAGAGGUUGACCGGCCACAUUGGGACUGAGAUACGGCCCAGACUCCUACGGGAGGCAGCAGUGGGGAAUAUUGGGCAAUGGGCGCAAGCCUGACCCAGCAACGCCGCGUGAAGGAAGAAGGCUUUCGGGUUGUAAACUUCUUUUGUCAGGGAACAGUAGAAGAGGGUACCUGACGAAUAAGCCACGGCUAACUACGUGCCAGCAGCCGCGGUAAUACGUAGGUGGCAAGCGUUGUCCGG
rnacentral:rRNA from 1 species